GACGAACGCUGGCGGCGUGCUUAACACAUGCAAGUCGAACGGAAAGGCCCCUGCUUGCUGGGGUACUCGAGUGGCGAACGGGUGAGUAACACGUGGGUGACCUGCCCUUCACUUCGGGAUAAGCUUAGGAAACUGGGUCUAAUACCGGAUAGGACGUCGGGCUGUAUGCUGUGGUGGAGAGUGUUUUCGGUGUUGGAUGGGCUCGCGCCGUAUCAGCUUGUUGGUGGGGUCUUGUCGUACCAAGGCGUCGGCGGGUAGCCGGCCUGAGAGGGUGUGCGGCCACAUUGGGACUGAGAUGCGGCCCAGACUCCUACGGGAGGCAGCAGUGGGGAGUAUUGCACAAGGGGCGGAAGCCUGAUGCAGCGACGCCGCGUGGGGGAUGACGGCCUUCGGGUUGUAAACUCCUGUCGCUUGGGACGAAGCGCAAGUGACGGUACCGGGAGAAGAAGCACCGGCUAACUACGUG
rnacentral:rRNA from 1 species